AACGAACGCUGGCGGCAGGCCUAACACAUGCAAGUCGAGCGCACCCUUCGGGGCGAGCGGCGGACGGGUUAGUAACGCGUGGGAACAUACCCUUUACUACGGAAUAGCCUCGGGAAACUGAGAGUAAUACCGUAUGUGCCCUUCGGGGGAAAGAUUUAUCGGUAAAGGAUUGGCCCGCGUAAGAUUAGAUAGUUGGUGGGGUAAUGGCCUACCAAGUCUACGAUCUUUAGCUGGUUUUAGAGGAUGAUCAGCAACACUGGGACUGAGACACGGCCCAGACUCCUACGGGAGGCAGCAGUGGGGAAUCUUAGACAAUGGGCGCAAGCCUGAUCUAGCCAUGCCGCGUGUGUGAUGAAGGCCUUAGGGUCGUAAAGCACUUUCGCCAGGGAUGAUAAUGACAGUACCUGGUAAAGAAACCCCGGCUAACUCCGUGCCAGCAGCCGCGGUAAUACGGAGGGGGUUAGCGUUGUUCGGAAUUACUGGGCGUAAAGCGUACGUAGGCGGAUCAGAAAGUAAGGGGUGAAAUCCCAGGGCUCAACCCUGGAACUGCCUCUUAAACUCCUGGUCUUGAGUUCGAGAGAGGUGAGUGGAAUUCCGAGUGUAGAGGUGAAAUUCGUAGAUAUUCGGAGGAACACCAGUGGCGAAGGCGGCUCACUGGCUCGAUACUGACGCU
rnacentral:rRNA from 1 species